ensembl:lncRNA
CGGGGAGCUGCCGGGGCAGGAGGAGCCGGCACGAACGGCGACAACGACGCCUGAAUUCGCUCGCUCGUUUUAACUCCUUGCCCUGAAAUCGUUGCGUGCGAACCGCCUUUACCUCUUCAGCCCGACUGCUAGCGAGAUAAUAAUAAUAUAUAUAUAUAUAAAUAUACAUAUUUUAGAAAAGGUUUUUUCCUUAUUGCUCGAUGUCUGGACUCUAAUUGAAGACAAGUGGCAAAUGGUUUUUAUUAAAAUCCCCCCUCCCUCCUCUCCGCCUCUAACUCUGGGUGUUUUCAGACAAAAUGUGCAAACCUCUGGCAACGCACACGGCCAGAAACAUUCGAUAUUUCUCCAUCCGGUCGCACAUUCCCCUCGCCUGGCUCGCUCCCUCUUUGCAGGUGCAAAUUUCGGGGACACGGCUGUGCCCAGCGCUCCCCGGUGCGUCCUUCUCUGUGACCGCUGCGCAACACAGGAAGGGCACAGGGAGGGACGGGAAGUCCCGAUGCCCCUCCGCCUUCCAAAACGACUCGGGCACAAAGGCUCCCGAUGCUCAACCGACGUACAGAUGUUUUCCAUCCCCCCCUUUUGCUCCAUCACCGUAUCCCGUAGGAUUUCCCACUCUUCGUUUGCAGAUGAUGGUUGCACAUUUUCCCUGGACAUUGACUUCUCCCCACCUUCCUUGGGUGAACGUGGCCGGACUGGGAGACACGAGGGCUUUGCUACGACUCAGAGAUCUCUCCCCAUUUUUCAAGAUGAUGACUUUUCGUGCCUGCUCGGAGCUCAGAGCAGAGAGCUCAGGGAGCGCUGUGUAUGAGAGUGAACCGGCUUUGCAAGAUGAUGACUUAUUUCCUGCCAAAUUUGCUUUAAGAAACCACUUCAGUUCUGUGCACGAGACUUCACGUUGCUGUGAUUUAUUAUCCAGGAUAUAAAUGAAGAUCAGUUUGGUUAUAGUGGAAUUUAGAGCAAAAUUAAAUAUUUUCUCCUAUAGAAAGAACGUUACGAUUUCAUACAGCCAAAGCACACGCGUCCUGUCCGUAAGACAUCGCUGUGUGCUCGGGGAGGGGAGGCACACCAGGAGCCUACAGAGACAGCACACAGUCAGCUCAACUUUCAGCCAAAGCACGAUGCGAUGUGAGGCUGACGAUGAACCUUAGAAGCUGCCACGAGGGCUCCUUGGGGAGCAUACAGCUGAGGAUGGGGACACACAGCUGCUGGCAGCACUGCGCUCCGUGCCAUUCCCCUCCACUGCUCUGCAGCGAUGCUGGAUGAGGGCAGCUGCCUGCAGGGAUAACGCUGGGGAGCUCCUAAGCAAGAGGUGUUUUCCAGGUCAGUUAUCACCCAAACCUGUUGGACUGCUGUGCUGUCUGCUGUUCCAGGUGUGGGGGUCAGGCUAAGCAGGGCAAGGGCUGCGUGCCCAGGGGCUGCGAUUCUGCUCCUGCUAAGUGCCACCAUCCUUAUCCUCCCGUGGGGUUCAGAGGGUCUCCCUCUCUUGUUUGUCAUUGCAGUGGUGCUGGAAUGUGGUUGUCUUACUUCUCCACCAGCGCCGUGCUGCAACGCAAACUGCAACGGCAAACACAAUGUGCAGCCGUUAGUGCAUGAGAAUCCUGCAGGGCUCUGCACUGGCAUUCUCCAUAACAACAUCCACUGGAUUUUAGGACGAGCUCCGUUUUAGACUCCAUUUGGCACAUGGUGGUGAUGGGUUGAUGGUGGGACUAGAUGGACUUAGAGCUCUUUUCCAAUCUUAAUGAUUCUGUGAUUCUACAAUACAUUUAAAUGCAAGAGGUGCUGCACUCCAUCCCUGCUCAGCACACGCUGUCACACCGGUCCUCACACCAUGCUGAAGAAUUUCACCCCACUUUAUCAUAUAUCAAAAAGACCUUUCCAUGGAAGGGCUCAUGUUAACUAUCUCUGUGGCAAUGGCUGCUGAUUUUCAGUAGCCUUUGAAAGAAGGGAUCUCACAUGGGGCAUUUGGGAUGAGUUCAGCCCACAGAGGAGGGAUACAGUAAGAGAAAGCAGGGGAGGCAGUGCCGUAACUCCAGCAAACAGCACUGCUCAAGAAUCUCUAUUUCACAGAGCCAAGGGACUGGGGCUGCUCCGGCAUCUCAAAUACACCAGUACUUCUCAUCAAUAUUUGGCGUGUGGUGCAGGUCACCCUGCGGGUUGGAACACCCAGGAAUGCAGGUUCUAUGCUCAUUUCUGUGUCAGACCUCACAUCACAUUGCUGAGAUGAAAUCAUGGAAAAACAUCAGUCAGAAGUAAUCUCUGGAGGUCUUGAGUCCCACCCCACUCAAAGCAGAGCUAAUUUCAACAUCAGAUCAAGAUAAGUUUUAUGGUACUUAAUCUGGUAAAGCCAUGAAUUACACUAUACUCUCUCCCCGGGUGACUUUCAGUGAGAUCUUUAUAUCAUUUCCUAUCAAAUUCUGCCUUUGUUUCACUUUUACUGGAUAACCUCUUCUAGGGGAGUCUCAGGGACUGUACAGAGCAUGGAGUUGGAUUUCCACUGCCUACAAACUCUUGGCAACCAACAUGCCAUUCACCAUCCAGUCUUAAAACCUCCAUCCCUGGCCUUCAGCCACAGACCUGGAGGAGGAUGUGGGCCGCUGCUGAACUGGCAGCAGACAGCCACGUCCACCUUCUUUCUGAGAAAUAAAAGGGGAAUAAAGUGCAAUUAAAAAUCUAGGAACACUGCAAAUGGGUCGGACAGAUCAAAACUCUGGGGAUAUGUUAUUUGUGUUUGACAGAACUCAAUCUCCCAAAUGUUUCAGAGCAUCACUCAUAUCAGAGUGGGUGCACAUCCAGAGCUUUGCUCCUUCUGCAUUGUAAUGCUACCACCUUAUAGCCAGUAAGAAAAGCACAGCCUUUGGAUGAUUUCUGCUAGCUCCAGGCAAUCUAGAACCUCUGCCAAAGAGUUACAUAGAUGUAGCAUUUUAAAAUAAGGUUGUCUCCAAAGUCUUUUAAAUAAAGAGGCUGCAGUAGAGGCUGGCAGGCAGCAAGGACACCGACCAACCCAUCAGGACCCCAUUUUGCAACUUACAGCAGCUUGUCAGGAGAGAUCGAUAGUUGGCAUGGUAACAAGCUCAUUUCCCAAGAAUGGAGCUCCUUUUUAUUAAAUUUGGCUGGCUAUUGAUCAGUUCCUGAUCCACGUAUCAAAACAUGACAAGCACUUAAUGAAUCACAGAUUUUUAUUGAGCUGAAUAAAAAAAAACCCCACAAUAUCAGGAGGCAGCUGCAGUGAGGUGCUGGGGCAGGGAUGGAAAACCAACCGGUUGCAACUUACUCUUAUGGUGAUUUCAAGACCACGUUCAGAACACCCUGUGUUCCCACCGGUGUUUCUUAUGGCAGCAUCCCCACUAAGCAGCUUUGUGUGCCAAGUGGGGUUCCAUCCCCACUUGCUGACUGUGGCUGUCAGCUGUGGCUGCAAUGAAGUGAUUGGUCAAUUCAACCCAUGAAGUCUGGGUGAAAACGUCUCUGAAGUCCAAGUCUCAUGUUGAACUUCAUCCUACCAAGCACAGCUGCAGCCCUUCAAACCCAUGUUCCCUGCUCACCAACUAGGGGGUCCACACACCUCCCAGUGACAGCAUCCCUAUCCCCCAGGGUGGAGCUCUGAUUUGGUACCAAUCCCUCAGCCAUUCCGUAGGAACCACGUGGUCCAUAGCAAGAUGAUACUCCUUUAACUUGCUUUAACACACAUUUACAUGAGAGAUAAUAACAGCUCCAAAGGCUUCUUCCAGCCUAUUAAAUAAUACCCACUUAAAAUAUUGUCUGAAUUCAUACUGAAAUGACAGACUAUAAUAAUCCAGUCAUAGUCAUCCAGCAUAUACAGCUGACUGUAGAUACUUAGCAAAAUCAUGAGAUUAUUUUCAUGAUACAUUACAUGAUAGCUGAUUUUUUUUCACGUCAUCUCUUUUGACUGAUCUGAUACAGAGAACCUUUUUAAGACAUCUCCCUAUCCCUAUCUGCCAGAUAUUUUAAAAGUAGACAAAACACCCUGCCCACACGUAGGAAUAUGCUAAAGAUUCCAAAAAAAAAAACCAAAAGAAAAAGAAAAAGGUAUUGCAAACUGGGAUAAGCAUUUCAAGUGGAAGCUAAAACACCCCCAACAUUUCCCUACACCCACUGGAGAUGGCUGCCACACCAAAACCAAUAAAUUCAUAACAGAUCCCACCAUUUCAAGUAGCUUCACUUAAGAAAGCUCGUUUAAAAUUGACAAAACCUUGCAAUGCUUUUGAGUUUAUUUGCUUACAAUCACAGCAGCAGUCCCAUAGCAGGGACAGGACUUGAAAUUACCAGUAUUCAGUGAUAGUGUGGAUCUGCCCAGAGAAGCUGUGGGGUGCCCCAUCCCUGGAGGCGCCCAAGGCCAUGGAUGGGCCCUGGGCAGCCUGCUCUGGUGAGGAGCAACCAGCCCAUGGCAGGGGUUGGGGCUGGUUGGGCUUUAAGGUCCCUUCCAACCCAACCUUCUAUGAUUCUAUAUGUGCCUGGUGCAACGUGCACAACCACACGUAUCUAUGCACCUCAGGGUGCACUGCUAUCGCUCACAUUCCUGAAGUACCAGCACCCUUUAUCAUUUAGGGUUGCUGACUUUGCUUGAGCAGUGGUCUGAAAGGUCACAAGGAGUCAGAGCAGGGAGCUUUUGCAAGCCUGGAGAGCAGAACAGAGCAGCCCCAUGCUGGCUGGGGAUGAUGGUGCCCCAGGUGUGUGCAGUCAAUGACAUUCUACUCGACUCAGAGCAAAGGAUGAACUUUGUCAUCACAUUACUCAUGCUUUUUUCAGACACUCCAAGAACAGGAAGAAAUCAGGUUAAAUCAGUAAAUAAGUGGACAAGAGCAAUUCUCUUUGUCAUCACGUCCCUCCAAGGGCAAUUCUGGAGGAGAAACAGGAAAGCUGCUUUGCUUCUUUGAGAGCUCAGCAAAUCCUGCUAAUGUUUGCACAAGAAGAACAUCAUGUUCCUGUUUGUUCUCUGUUUCAUACCAUGCUCCCAGCUCUGAUUGUUCCCUUUUUGAGAAUAUUCAGCCCAGAGAAAGCUACCUAAACCUCCUGAACACCUGAACUGGAAAGGCGAAUACUGCCAGAUGUAUCUCAGGAACAAAUCCCAAAUCCAUCACGUCAUUUAGAAGGAUUCCCCAUACAGCCCACAUGACCAGGCCACCAAGCUGAAUUUCAACCAACAGCUCAGCAACACCCAGGCUGAGUUAACACUUGGUUAUUCAAGCAGCUGGUACCAAAUUCUGAAGGAAAGCAGUGGUUUGUGUGCUUGGGAGAAUGAGCCAUGUGCCACUUUGAGCCUCUUUGGCAGGAGCAGUGGGAUUUCAACCAGUUCCCUGCACUCAACUGCAAUAGGGCUGGGAUCAACCGCAGUGCUGAGCAUCCUUCUCUUUCUUAGGGCAACUAAAUCUGGGGACAGGCAGCCAGGCCUUGGGGACAGACAGCCCAAUCUUUUGCGAGGGCUUAAUUUAAGUUAGAAAUAACAUCUCUCUUUCUCCUAUGGAUCAUCUUAGGAUUUUGAAAGGGCAGUCACGCAACUUCCCCUGGCAGUUAUGGCAGAACCGCGCUUGAAAAUGAAUGGAGCUCGUGGAAGCAUUCAGGGGCUAACAAUUGGAUUUAUAAUUAGGCCUAAAAAGGGAAGAACACUGAAUAAAAGCAGCACAGCCAAUUUUAGAAGAAAAGGAAGUUCUGGAUGGAAUUCAUUGGGGUAGGGCACUGAAGUGGAAAUGGAAAGUGUUCAAAGAUAAAUGAGUUUAGGCCUAAGAGUUUGCUUGACAUCUAGAAAAUGUACUAGGAACACAGUGUCAAGAAAAGCUAACGUGAAUAACAAAGAAACACGAGAAGUGAGAGAAGAGAGGAAAGAGCCAUAAAACUUUGGUACAAUAAAGAGUUGCAAUUAUAGAGGGAAAUGUAAUGAAGUGUAAAAAAUCAUAAUGAAAGCAAAGAUAGAGAGUGAAAGGAUGAUUGCAUAUUUGCUUAAUGCACAUCGGAGAAGUGUCAAAGACAUGGGGAACAAGGGGUCACUAAAUGAGAAAAUAAAGCCUCAGAGGAAAGGCACUGAAUUUAUUGCUUUGAAUACAGUUUUAUUUGUCUGGGAUUUACCACUUGAGGGCCAAAGACAGGCACAAGCACUGGAAAUGUUUUCCUAAAGAGGCAAGAUUUCUGCAGGAAAUCGAGCUUUGCCCUUAGGCAGCCAGGAGCAUGUUUGAAAUGCUGUAGGCAGCUGGGGAGAUCUGAUGGCAUCUUGGAAAUCAAGGGAAACCCCAGCCUGACUGUGGCUAGCUGCCACCUGAUACAUAGGGAUUCGUGUUUGUUUUCUGAUAGCCUUUACCAACACUAUGGGUCCUGGUUAAAAAUGGUUCAGCUUUGCAGCUGAAGGGAUCCCCUUACAGACCUGACAAGACUCCCCUUCUCCUUCAUCCACCCAUCCAUUCCCCCCACAUGCAACUGGGACCCAGAAUACCCGCCUUGUCCUGUUGUCAUUUCCCAAAACCACACCAAGGAGAGGAUCCAGUACUCUGCCAGUUCCCAAAAUCACAACCCGGGGCAUUAAUCACACGUAAGUGGAGAACACAGCUUAGACCAGUUUAUCACCAGCACUGAGGCAUCCUCUACUGGGUGGGACACGAGUCCAUAGGCAGAAGUGAGUUCUCGUCUCAUCCUAGUGUCCCAGUUGGUGUCAAUGCUGGAUGACCGCAACAGAGCGGACAGGAUCCCAAGGAAGGCCCAGAGGCCAUCCCAAACCAUUCCAUCCUCUGCACCUUCAGAGCUCAGUACUCUUUCAAUGCAAAAGGAGAUGGAAUAGAGCUGCUGAUGUAUUGUCCUUCAAAAUCCAUACAAACAGCAGAAUGACAUCCCGGGAGUGGGAUCCUACUGGUGCAUUUAUCAACUGAGCGAUAUCUAGUCAAUUAGUUGUUUUCUCUAACUUAGGACUAAUUUUGUCCCACCAGUUUAAAUUAAAGCCCCUAAUAGGAUAAUUUCCUUGCAAUCUUAAUUUUGUUACAAGCGUUUCAUUAAUCCAAUCAUAACUUCUAUAAUAUUGUUUGGCAGCUGAUUGAGACUACAGUAACCACAGGGGUUCGAGCGCAUUGUCUCAUUUCUGAUAAAAAAAAAAGAAGUAAAAUGAGUCCAAUUAAAAAUUCUUUUAGUACUGUCUAAUAUGUGAAACUCCCCAAAGUCAGGCCAAGAGCAUCAUCAUUCCAUCCACGCAGCUCGUCUGCGGGUGACAGCAGAAGCUACAUGCUAAUGUCAACCGUAUGUGUCUGUCUGUCUAGUCGUCUACGGCAAUGAUAUAUUUAAAGAGGAUUGUCAGAGCAGUGGAAUGCCAUUCACAUUUGAAAAUACUUGUCUAUGGCUAUGGGGAAUUUUCUCUGGAGGAUCUUGGGUUUCCUCUGCAGUCCUCCUUCAGCUCCCUGAAGCUGUAUAUUCAGUGUGUCCCUGGCUAUAAUGCAAACACUCAGCACGUGGCGAUUCCAUGCAAGUCUCGUGCUUAGAGCAAGAAAUGGGAGAGAGAGAGGGACCUGGUGGGGGAAAGGUCUUGUGGCAGUAAUUUCUAAUAACAUACACAGUGCUGUCGGCUGUGGGAGCUUCAGCUCGGAGACACGUUAAUGUGGGGGGAAAAAAAGAAUAGAAAGCAGUGUGGAUUUUAAAGUGAAUUCAAGUCUUAAAAAUUGCACUUUCUUCAAGUCAUACACAAUCACUCCUGACAGAUAUUUUCUAGAUACAUUGAAGUAUAGAAGGGAGGUGACAGAAAUCCCUUGAAAUAAACACAACAAAGGAGUCAAAGGAAAAUCAAAAUUAAUCUAGGCUGUAUAAUAGAAAUAAUAAAGCCGUCAGGAUCGUUUUCUCUUCUCCUCCAUGAAUGACAGCCCACAAGAGAGGGGCACAGCUUUGUGUCAUGGACCAAAAACUAACAGGUUCAGAAGGGCCCGGCGAUGAGCCCCAGCACUUGGCUCCUCCUGGAAGAACCCCCAGUGUUGGCCAGAUCCCCGCUGAGCUAAGAGGAACUAGUUUCUACCUGAAUCGAAGCCCACAGGAGCAGCCGAUCAGGCUCAUUUCCAUAACCACAGGGUCAGAGGCUUCAUGGUAUGAUUUCCAUACAUCUCAUCCAAUGGGAUGCACUGAGCUGCAUGGGGCAUUGCGGCUCUGCUGGAUGAGGACCUGAGUGCCGGUGGAGGCAAGGUCAGAGCAGUUCAGCCCCUCUUUCCCAGGGAUUCUGUCCCAGUGUCGCAAUCCAGCCCCAGUCCUUGAGGAAAUUAGUCUUUGCAUGGAUACAUAUAAAUAAAUCCAGGACAUUGCUUGCGUAAUGCUUACGUUUUGCAGUAGCUGGCAUUUGCCGCUAGUUGAAGGCGAAGCAAACCAUGCUUCAGUGGAGCAUAAAAUUGCUUUCUUUUGGAACAAGCAGGGCAUUGUAGUAAUAGGCAAAACUGUACAUUGUGUUAACGGCUGUAUUUUCACAUUAUUGAUUUACAUUGUGUAAUGCCAUGCAAGACCUGCUUUCAAUGAUAUGUGCAUCUGUCAUAUCACAAGAACUGCAAAAGAGCUGGGCUGGAGGCUGCGAGGAAAAUGAAGCACUGGGGAUCCCAGGGCAUAUUCACGUCCAUGUGCCCAUCAUGUAGAGGUGAUGAUUAGGGGGAUGUGGUAAUGAGCAGGUCCCAAGUGUGCACUAUGUAAAUCAAGGCUGCCCGGGUCAGCUUCCGCUUACUAUGCACAUCCAACUUUUUCAGCCUGCUUGCUCUUCUGACAAGGAGAGCGCAUGUAAAUGGUUUCCCCUGGCAGUUCCCCCAGCUAGAUGUGGUGCAAGGCAUCCAAAGUGGACGUGUUGCAUUUUUUUUCCUCUCCUUCCCAAUUUCUUUUUCUGCUGGUGCCCUGAGUGUGGGGCUUUCCAUGAGGGUCCACUAAAAGGGAAAUCGGUAAGGUCUUCUAUGGGAAACAUCAACAUUAAAGAUACUUCAGCAUAGGAAGACAAAUACUCUGUCGGCGCAGUGUUUUGAACGUAAGCACAUUUACCUAAAAUACACAACAAUGAAGUGCUGCUGCUAUCAAAAAUUUGUAAUCACUACCCAGUUGACGCAAAGCUUUGUUUCAUAUCACCUAGCCUGGUGAUAAGUUAGGUUACACUUGUUGAUCUAUAAUAUCUGAUUUCUUGUUUUGCAAUGGCUUGAGGUUCUAUGUGUUAUAUCAAGCAAUAUUAGGGCUGAUUACAAAAAUCUCUCCUUAUCAUGUUACCCCAGACUCGGUUUAUAAACAUGGCAUCUCAGAAUGGCCUUUAGCUUUUCAGUUUACCUGUAACUGUAAAUGGGGCAGGUGGGGGUGUGGUUCUCUUUUCUAAAUCUCCAUUUUUACUCUCUCCCAGCCUUAAUCUUCUCUUUGUUUUAGUGGAAAAACUGGGGGACAGUUUCCCAAAUCCUUAUUUUACAUAAUGUGAGAUGAAACCAAAGAUAUGGUGUAAUCCUAGUUCUUAUGACCACAAACAGAAAGAAACAAACUAAACUAAGGAAAGUUUUCAGUCUUAACAGCAAUGUUUUCCUUGGUAAUUGCAUUUCCAUUGAUAUCUUUUGAGCCUGCCCUAUUCUACAGACCUGCAAGCCAUUAAUUGCCAAGACUUCAGCAUCAUGUGUUGUUUUAGAUGUUGUGUCACCAGCAGCUAACAGAAGCAAUGCAACUCUGAACUUGGGUCUUGGAAGGUAAAAGUCUUUUCAGCUCGUCUAUAAAUAGUCAGAUAAAUCCCGUUAGCUUUCUCCACACCAUCAAAGCAUUUGGGUAGCAUAAAGCAACUGAAUACAUAAAAAUAUAUCUAAACACCUUGUAAAUCCCUACACAGAGCUGUUGCCGACACUACUUUUAACCCUAGGAAAACAUUUCACCAAUUACUGAUCAAAUACAAUACAGCUAAAUUUCACCACCAGCACAUCAUUUUGAUAAUGGGUAUGGAAAUUAUCCAUUCAAUAGCUAUUCAGAAAUAACUUAGAAAGAUUGGUUUUCAGAUACUUCUGAGAAUCCUAGAAUAAUCCCCUAUAAUCACCGUGGUGAGAAUCCACCAUUUUUCCCUUUGAAAAAAGCCUGUUUGGAGCUAGAGCGUUGGUGGUCUCUGCCUGUCCUCCAACGGAUGUGCUCAGACAAUAUAUCUGAAAUCACGAGAGCUCUGCUGGCAGAGGACGGAAAGUUUCGAGCAUCAAUGUGACUCCAAGUCCAGCAACAAGGGCACAUUGGCUGCUCAGGUGCAGAUCUUCAACCCUGCAAGAGACAUUUUCAUCCUCUCCCACAAGGGCCUGCUACCAGCCCAGAGUGGAGACAAGAGAACUGUGUCACCCAGAAGGACACAAGCCUGAGGGCAGGCUGGGGCACUGCCAGGGACCGACAUGCCCCACGUCCACCCUGCAAGAGCAAAGUCACCCUUUCCUACCUAACCAAGCAGCCCCCUAUGCAGGCUGGGCAGUGCUCAGAGCAGCCCUGCUGGAGGUUUGGCACUGGCUUUACCUUCCAGGCAAGAUUAUUGACCUUUCCAGUCCAGUAUUUAACAACCCCCAUUCAUCCCCACUUUCCCCUUCCCUUCCACUUCAUUCCCUUUGUUGCUCUGUAAUAGGAGAGGCAACAGGGCACAUAUUUCUGUAGAACAAAGCAUUAUCAUCCUAAUUAUAGUUUCCUGGUGUUUUCUUCACUUUUACCAUUAUAUUAAAAGCCAUUAGCUGAGAGGAACUACCUUUUUUAAUCUCUACCCUAUUGUUCUCAUCUCUCCCCGAAUCCGAGGUCUUUUUAGAGUCUAUUUUAUUCAUAAUUACAUGUGUUGGAACAACUGCUCAAAAAAGUGAGCCCAGGAAGGACUCUGUUAAUACUUCCCUAGCAGACUUGAUCCCACUGCCUCUGAAUUACGUAAUGAUAACAAUUUAAUAAAAUGUAUGUGAAAAAAAUGGCUUAUUUUCAGCAGUUCGUGUGAAUGAUGGAUGCAGCCUUACCAUGAGCAUCGGGAGCCCUACACUGAGGGAAACUUUAAAAUGCAUCAUAUUCGGUCAAUUGGCCCUUCAGGUUUUUUCAAGCUUCCCCUCCAUCACCUUUGUUAAUUACCCGCCAUUUGAACAAGGGUCUUCUCCAGCCUUGAUCCUGCCGUGAAAUCACGAUGCUAUAUUUGUCUUUCUAACAUCAAAGUCAUUUCCAUGGUCGCCAACUGUGAUGUCAUAAACACAUUUUUAAUGGCUUGUUUACAGCAGGGAACAGAAGGAGAGAGUAAAUUAUGGGUGGAAGGAAGCUCUUAUCGAUGCACAACAGUCUUAGGCACAACUGUGAGGCUGGAAGAUGAAGAAAACUUGGAAUAAAAGAACGUUCUGCUGAAGUAGUUUUUGUUCUGAAGUUCAUCCCAGCUCAAAAAUCCCUUUCUAAGUUAUCACUGAACAAGAAACGUCAAUAGAUUACCAAUAUGUCAAUCAGCCCAGAGUUGUGGAAGGUAAUUUCUAAGCCUGGAAGACAAUAAAUCCAUGCCACAAUCCAUCCAAUCUGCGGUAUAAAUGAACACAUACGACACAUCCAGAGCAACUCCUACAGAAUAACUUGGGGAGGACAUACUGAAUUCUGAAUAUUACUGGCCCAGAUAGUCUUACACCCGUCUAAGGUUACAGCAGAAUCAGAAGGUCCUUGAGAGAUACUUCAGUUUUGACCAGCUAUGGCUGUGGGAUCCCUACUGGUCCCCGCUGAAUAAGGAGAGUUAUCACGUUCAGUCAGCUAUUCAUGAGGAAGGUUUCUUUUCAGGCAGAGAAAGGCAAAUGCCAACACCAGCUUGAGCUUUUGGCCACAGAAAUAACAUGGCCCUUCAGGCUGUUCUGACACACAGCUUGACCUGUCUUCCCAGCAAGCCCAAAGCACUGUCAAUUCCCCUUGGCCAACUCUCUAAUUUGGUAGCAGAGUUGAGACGUAUUUAGCUGAAAUAAGUUUGUCCUCAUCCCUCAGCUGAAGUGGAAAAGUAAAACCCUCAGUUUUUUUUCCCACAAGGCACAGCACAGAGUUGUUCUAGCAGGAAUCCACCAACACUUCUCUGCUUUGAGUUCUUCUGAUACCAUUUCUUCAUGCCCUGCAUUUCUUGGUUCCCAGUAGCUCAAAGUUAGCAUCAGAUGCUGUCCAUUCACAAUACAUUAAUGAAUGGACCCAGACAUGCUCCAUGUUGGAUGCUUGCUAAGGCAAGGUCUGGUGCACUACCUCUCAUCCCACCCCAGGGCAGAAAUUAAUUUUCUAGACCCUCAUCACUCGAGAGGGUGGGGAAACUGAGUCAUGCAUAAUUUCUUUUAUAAGUAAUGUGGAUGUUUCCUAUGGUGUCCAGAAGUCAG